UUUUGGGCAAUGGGCGAAAGCCUGACCCAGCAACGCCGCGUGAAGGAUGAAGUAUUUCGGUAUGUAAACUUCGAAAGAAUAGGAAGAAUAAAUGACGGUACUAUUUAUAAGCUCCGGCUAACUACGUGCCAGCAGCCGCGGUAAUACGUAGGGAGCAAGCGUUGUUCGGAUUUACUGGGCGUAAAGGGCGCGUAGGCGGCGCGGUAAGUCAGCUGUGAAAUCUCCGAGCUUAACUCGGAACGGCCAGCUGAUACUGCAGUGCUAGAGUGCAGAAAGGGCAAUCGGAAUUCUUGGUGUAGCGGUGAAAUGCGUAGAUAUCAAGAGGAACACCUGAGGCGAAGGCGGGUUGCUAGGCUGACACUGACGCUGAGGCGCGAAAGCCAGGGGAGCAAACGGG
rnacentral:rRNA from 1 species